rnacentral:lncRNA from 1 species
AAUUUGCAAAAUAAAUAGCUUGAGAAGUAAUGAUUUUACAGAACACGUAAUAAUGAGAAGAGAUUAAUUAGAACUAAACAAAUUAGUAAGAUUCAUUACAAGAUAUAAAAUAAAACUAUAAAGUUGAACUAGAAGUAAAUUAUUUAUGGGAAGACAUGACACAAUGUGGUCUUCGUAUUUGUCGUCGAGGUCUUCGUGGAAGAGGAUCAUCAACGACAUGUUCAUCAUCGUUAUUAUUGGCUUCAUUAUGAGAUGCUGG